CUUUACCAGACACUCAGGCUCAUCAGUGGUCCAGGGUAGACGCUGAGCAACUGGUAUGCGUUUCUUUUCUUCUUCAUUUAACAUCUCUUUUAACUUCCUCUGGAAUUCCUCUUCUUUUAAUCUACCUCUGUUCUGUUUGGCCAUCAAACAAAACAAAACACAUGAAUUCUAUGAUGAUGAUGGUCAUCAUGAAUUUAAACCCUGAUAUUAUUACCUCUUUUCGUAGUUUGAAUGGAUUCUGUUUGGUCACUUUUAGAUUCAUAUUCCUCUUCGAAGCUUUUUCCAGGCUCUAGAAAGAUAGAUAAAAGAGCAGAAGAGUGGUUCAAAAUUCAAAAACCCUUUAAUGGUUUAGAGUUUAGAAUUUAAGAUUUAGAAUUCUUACUUUGGAACUCCCCACCAAACCCGAAACUGAAACUCCUUCCACCUCAUCAUCAUCAUCAUUCUAUUCUAAUAUUCAUUUUUAAUUUUUUAUUCAUUUUCAGAUUUCAUUUCCUAAACAGUCUACUUAUUCAAUAGACUCAAUGUCUAAUGUACAUGGGAAUGAUGAAGGUAAUGUUAAUUUUUUUGUGGCAUAAAUUAAUGUUCUUAUUCUUAUAUUAAUUUAUGUUUCUGAUAUUAAUUUAUAUUUCUGAUUUUAAUUUAUUCUUAAACAGGUGUUCAAUGGACGAUGGUUAACCUGUUCGAUAUCUCUAUGGAUGAUUGGAUGAUCUGGAAAUUAUAAAAUGAAGCUUAGAAUAUGUUAAAAAUUUAAAUUAUGUUGGAUUGAUUGUUAAGUACUAUUUUUAAAUUAUGUUGGAUGGAUACUUGUUAUGUUAAAUUGUGUUGGAUACUUGGAUUUAAUAUUUACAGUUUUUUUU
rnacentral:lncRNA from 1 species